rnacentral:rRNA from 1 species
UACGGAGGGUGCAAGCGUUAAUCGGAAUUACUGGGCGUAAAGAGUACGUAGGCGGUUUGGUAAGUCAACUGUGAAAGCCCCGGGCUUAACCUGGGAACUGCAGCUGAUACUGCCAGACUAGAGUUUGUGAGAGGGUAGUGGAAUUCCUAGUGUAGCGGUGAAAUGCGUAGAUAUUAGGAGGAACAUCAGUGGCGAAGGCGACUACCUGGCACAAAACUGACGCUGAGGUACGAAAGCGUGGGGAGCAAACAGG